UGAGGAGCUCUGCGAGCAUGUA
rnacentral:miRNA from 1 species